UUGUGCUCUGCACUGUUGUGGUAGGAUGUGCAGGUAGAUCAGCAUCCUCGAAGCUGGCUAAAAUCCUCACCAAGCCAAAAGUGACUUGAAGUAUCUCCCCUAGAUCUUCCAAAGGGGAGCUCAGUGGGUGAUUUUUGUGCACCAAGAUAGAGUGGGUUUCCAUCUCCUAGAUGGUGGGAGGAGGUAACAGAUGCUCAUUGUGACGUGAACGUAAUUUCAGUACCUGCAGAGGAGAAAUGACGACCGGAGCCACCCGAGCUUAAAGGGGAGCAUUGAGUUGGGAUGCCUGCUACAGUAUUGCUGGGCUGGCUUCCAUGACAGGGCCAAGGCUGGAGGAGGACACCCUAGAGCUUCUGUCCCA
rnacentral:lncRNA from 1 species